CAACAUUGGAACAUAUCACAUAUUCUUUGGAGACAAAAAAAGAUCAAUAAUAAUGGCGUGGAAAACACUUUUUGUAUUGUGUUUCUUCCUCAUUGCUGCCCUAUCUUCCCAAGAAGGUGUAGUGAAGGUUGAGGAAUGUGAAAAACCGAGUGCUUUGUUCUCUGGGGUAUGCGUUGAUAAACCUGCCAACCAACAAUGUGAUUAUCUUUGCAGGAAAGGAGAAAAGUUACUCAGUGGUUCAUGCAAAAAUAAAAAAUGUGUUUGUGUCUGUUGAAUAUCUCGACUCUAUGAUGUACUAUAUAGAUAAUUAAGCUACAUUAUCAUGUUCAUGAAAUAAAUUACUUAAUUAAUUCAAUUUCCUUUGAAGA